UACCAGCACCCCGAGUGGUCGGGACGAUUAUUGGGCCUAAAGCAUCCGUAGCUUGUUCUGCAAGUCCUCCGUUAAAUCCACCUGCUCAACAGAUGGGCUGCGGGGGAUACUACAGGGCUAGGAGGCGGGAGAGGCAAACGGUACUUAGUGGGUAGGGGUAAAAUCCGUUGAUCCAUUGAAGACCACCAGUUGCGAAGGCGGCUCUCUGGACCAGCACUGACACUGAGGCACGAAAGCGUGGGGAGCAAACGGG
rnacentral:rRNA from 1 species